rnacentral:rRNA from 1 species
AAGGGCACACCAGAGGUGGAGCCUGCGGUUUAAUUUGACUCAACACGGGGAAACUCACCAGGUCCAGACAUGAGAAGGAUUGACAGUUUGAAAGCACUUUCUUGAUUUCAUGGGUGGUGGUGCAUGGCCGUUCUUAGUUGGUGGAGUGAUUUGUCUGGUUGAUUCCGAUAACGAACGAGACUCUCAGAGUAAACUGGCUUAGGUCGUAAUUUACGUUACUUCCGGCCUCUUUUCUCGACAAUUCGUUUUAAACGAAAGGAAGCGGAGAGUAAUAACAGGUCUGUGAUGCCCCUCGAUGUUCUGGGCCACACGCGCGCUACAAUGACGAAUUCAACGAGCUUUUUUCUCCUUGCCCGGAAGGGUGUGGGUAAUCUUUUCAAUGUUCGUCGUGAUGGGGCUAGAUUUUUGCAAUUAUUAAUCUUCAACGAGGAAUCUCUAGUAUGUGCAGUUCAUCAGACUGCGCAGAAUGCGUCCCUGCCCUUUG